UACCCUACGGGGCGCAGCAGUGGGGAAUCUUCCACAAUGGACGAAAGUCUGAUGGAGCAACGCCGCGUGAGUGAAGAAGGGUUUCGGCUCGUAAAGCUCUGUUGGUAGUGAAGAAAGAUAGAGGUAGUAACUGGCCUUUAUUUGACGGUAAUUACUUAGAAAGUCACGGCUAACUACGUGCCAGCAGCCGCGGUAAUACGUAGGUGGCAAGCGUUGUCCGGAUUUAUUGGGCGUAAAGCGAGUGCAGGCGGUUCAAUAAGACUGAUGUGAAAGCCUUCGGCUCAACCGGAGGAUUGGAUCAGAAA
rnacentral:rRNA from 1 species